CCAGCAAGACAAUGAUCCAUUCUUCCCAACUCAUUAGCCUACUCUCCACUUAAAAUGCAAGAUUUAAUCCUAGCCAUUGAUUUUCUUCUAAUUCAAUGGACAUCAUCCCUUCCCACCUCCAUAUGAAAUAUUCAAUUAUAGAAAACCCAAUUUCUAAGGAUAAAAUGGCAGACCUCUCAUUAUCCAAAAGAAAUUGGCCUUAUCUCCCCGACUGGAGUGAAAAGAAUUCACACACAUAGAUAGAGAAAUCUGAAAGUUAAUUGAAAAAUCACUUGAUGUGCAGUGGAAACAACAUUGCUAAAUCCUAAGAGCUUUCCCUUAUGGAAAUUUUCAGAAUUGAAGAUACUUAUCAUCUUUGUUGACUUGUUCAAUUCCAAUUCCAUUUCACCGUCCUCCCUUCUAUGCAAAAACUUUUCAAUCUAGAAAUCCAGAGAUGUUAACGCAAAGAGGGAGUCGCACAUCUUAGCCAUUUUUUCCAGCACCCCACCCCUUUUUCCCAAAAAUAGCAACACAUACACAUAGGAGAGACCGAGGGAUCUAGAGGCAAAAAACGAGAGAAAGAGAGGAUUGACGCAAAACUGAAGCCUCCAAAAUUUCCAUCUUUUUCUCACUGGCUUCACUUUCUUCAAAGCAACUCAAACUCAGAUGAAAUCACUCAUCUUCCUCCAUGUUUUUUCUUCAUUUUUGCCAUGUAAAAGCUUCACUAAAAAUAGUAAAGACAACCUUGAAAAAUAGUUGUAAACCUGUUAUUUCAACCAUGAACUGUACAAAAUAAAACUGCAAAAUAGUCCUAAAAAUCAGCCUUCCGACUCCAAACACCGUGAACAUAGCACAAGUUACCAACGGGUUCGAGUUGAGGUUGUGCGAGGUCAUCGAUUCCAGUUCAAAUUCUGAUUGAUAUGCUCAUUAGAGAACUUUCAGAGCUCUGUUUCUUGCUGUACACAUUAGGGAACAUAUUCCAUAAUAAAGGUUUCAAUUUUAAUUCAUCUCUUUAUUUAUUAGUUUAUGUUGUGCUUCAGUACUUUCAAAUUCAUUGCCGUUGCUAGUUUUGGUUAUCUUGUCACAUGCUUUAUGAAUUGAUUUCUUUAUUCCCAAAGAACAUUAUAUGCCAUUUGUGCCGUUUCCUUUUUCGUUGAUUCAAUGAUUGAAUUUCCAAGGAUUGUUGGUUUGUUAAUGGGUAAUGGGAAUUUGGGCUGACCAUAUGUUUGGGUUUAAGGAAAUUAAUUAUAACAAAGGGCACAUGGGCAGAGCAAGUUUUAUUUGCCAAGCCCAAUGAUUUCAAUCAAUAGAUUAAGAACUGAACCACUCCUCCAUAAUAGAUAAAUGCCUCAUACUUUUAAAGAUAGAGUAGCGAGUUGUAAACCCCUUUAACACGUAGAUAACUUGUCAAUACUCUAAAUAGCUAAAAUAUUUUUGACAUCCAGUAACUUCACAUUCAUAAAUUCUUUGCCUUCACAAUAAUCUCAAAGUCAGAAGAACAACUUAUGAACACCGUAGUUUGCUCUAGGCGGGCUAAAUAAAUAAAUCAUCGUGACUAUGGGUACGGUUCCCGUGGUAUAAUCACGAUACAUAACUCCAACUCGAGUGUGCAUUUCGUAUGACUCGACCACAACUUCAAAUAAUAAUAAAAAUUAACAUGUUGUAAAUCGCGGGUGCGUUUCACGUGGUGCGAUUCACAAUGUAUACAAAAAUAAACGAGUGCGCGAUAUCGCGACUUGUUCAAAUAAAUUCCAUAAAUACUAAAAGUGGUUUAAGAGGUAAAAAUGCAUAAUAGGUUUCAAAUAUGUAUUAACCAGAUAAUUAGGCCAAUUAUCAAUAGUUGUGCGACUGUAUUAAAACCACAGAAUCUGGGAAUACCUAACACGUUCUCCCGGGUUAACAGAAUUCCUUACCCGGUCUUCUGUGUUCGUAGACACAGAGUCAAAUUUCCUCGAUUUGGGAUUUAAAAUAAACCGAUGACUUGGGACAUCAUAAAUCAUUCCAAGUGGUGACUCUGAAUCUAAAUAAUAAUCCCAUUUCGAUUAUUGUCACUUAAAUUGGAAAAACUCCCUAUACCCUAAGGAAAAAAGAGGUGUGACAAUGUGGUUGGUAUUGAGGUGACGCACAUGCUAGCUGACGGGAGUGUGGGCGUACACCGUAGAAAUUGUGACUCAGUCGAUUCUGUGGAACUGUGUAGUCAUCUUAUUGGAAUAAUAUUAGCAUACCCUAUGUGUUAAAGAAUUUGAGCAGUGAUUUAUGUUAGAAAUCAUGUUUAGGCUAUGUGCUGGUAAUAUUGGGACCCACGUCGGUCGUUCUUUUGCUGUUGAGUUAUUUGCUUAAAUUGAAGUUAUGUACUUAGAUGUAUUCAUCAUUGCAUAUCAUAUUUUAGUCUCUAUUUUCAAUUAUUGUCACAUCAUGUAUCAUUAUUUUUUGGUGAUUGGUAUGAGUGUUGUGAGGUCAAACGACUUGAGAGAUUGAUGACCGAGUGAGGCCCAGGGCCUAUUUGAGGGUGAUAUUGAUGGGAUCGGGCUGCAAAUCCAUGAAAUCCUUUGUAACUGGUAACGGUAGUUUGAAGAUUUUGUCACGACCCUAGUUCUCCCUCCGUGAAAUGUCGUGACGGCACCUAGUACCUACGACUAGGUAAGCCUAACAAAUUGUGGAAAAAGAAAAUAAAAAUACAAACUGGCAAAUUUCGAGUAAAAACAUAAAUAAAGAGUUUAGAAAUACCACUCGGCAUAUACAAUAGAUGUUCACAAUACUGAGAUCAACUUCCCAAAACCCGGAAUCUCAUGAAAUCACAAGUUGUGGAUACUACAUAAUGUUCUAACUCCGGAAUGUCUAAUCAAAAAAAAAUACAGAAGGGCUAUAGCUAAAAGAGAGAAUAGAGAGGGACUCCUCGAUCUGCCGACGCGGCAGAUAUACCUCGAAGUCUCUGAAGAUUGCCUCACCUCAUUGAUAGUAUGGCUGAGCCGAAGAACCUAGAUCUGCACACGAAAAACAUGUGGAGGAAAGGGCAUGAGUAUACCACAUAAGUACCCAGUAAGUGCCAAGCCUAACCUCGGUCGAGUAGUGACGAGGAAGGUCAGAGCCCUACUGGUUAUAGAUGAAAAACAAGGUAAAAUAGUACGGAAUAUGACAACAUAACUAGAAUACUAAUAGUCUAAAAUGAAUAAAAAUCACAGAAGGAAUUUAACUCAAUACAUAGAAAUAGCAACAAAGGAUCUCCCAGGAUAUCGUCACGUAGUCCCAAACAUAAAUGUACAGGGAAACUUCUGGAAUACCAAAUCCAUAGUCCCAAAGUAAAUAUCCAAUAUGGGGAAUCUACCGGGUGUUGUCCCGUAGUCACAAAUAUAAAUGUGCAGGGGGAUCUACCGGAAUACUGAUCUGUAGUCCCAAAGUAAACACGCAGGGGGAUCUCCUGGGAUAUCGUCCCGUAGUCCCAAAGUAAACACACAACCAUCUCAGAAGAAUAUGCAGUUCUAUUCGAGAAUUAAACAGGAAAUUCUACUCUAACAUGCUGCACAGAGAACAAGUAGGCAAUUAAAGCAGGUAAGACAAUUAAAUCACAUAAGCAUGCUUUUUCUAAACUAAGCAAGAGGCUUAAUGUACAAGUAUUUACUCAAUUACAAGAAAACAUAGGUAUUAGCUUAAUGAAAACGGGAUUUUCCACAAUUAGCACAUGUACGCACUCAUUACUUCACAUACACGGCACACAUAUAACAACAAUAUCAAAUCCUAAGGGGAGUUACCACACACAAGGUUAGGCAAGCCACUUACCUCGAACCAGCUCAAUCAACUCGAAAUCACGUUNNNNNNNNNNNNNNNNNNNNNNNNNUUAAUUCGAAGCUAAUACGCGAAAUUAAGAAAAUAGCCAAAAAGCCCCCCCCCCCCCCAGGGCCCAUGACUCGGAAUUGGAUAAAAUUUAUAAAUUCAGAACCCCCGAUCACUCACGAACACACUAAAAUAAAAAUCACCAAAAUCCGAUGUCAAAAUUCCACUCAAAACUCAAAUUUUCAAUUGGGGAAACCUUCUCCCAUUUUCCAAACUUUUACCCCAAUUCCCUUAAUUAAAGGAGGAAAACAACAAUAUAUUAUAGUUCUAGGAUCAAAAUCAAGAUAGAAAUCAUUACCCAAUGUUUCUCCUUCAAAAAGCCUCGAGAAAUCACCCUCAAUUGAGCUCCAAAUUAUUUUUCCAAGUUAUGAGUUCAAACCCUCAUUUUCCCUUUUACUGCCCAGCGAUCUCCGCUUCUGCGACCAUGGGAUCGCACCUGCGGUCCCGCUUCUGCAGCAAACCAACCGCACCUGCGAUAUUUCAUUAAAAGCCCAAAUUCCACACUUGUGACCGCUUACCCGUAGAUGCAGUCCGCUUCUGCGGUCCUUGGACCGCAGCUGUGACCAGUUUCACUUAUGCCUCAGACCGCACCUGCGGUCCUCAUACCGCUUCUGCGGUGCCGCACCUGCGGUCCUACACACGCAGGUGUGGUUAUGACAGGUUCAACCAAACCUCAGAUUUUCCUAAGUCCAAAUUCCAAUCAGUUCGACAUCUGAAACUCACCCGAGGCCCCCGGGACCUCAACCAAACAUGUCAACCAAUCCUAAAACAUCAUAUGAACUUAUUCCAACCCUUGAAUCACAUCAAACGACGAUAAAACCACGAAUUACCCUCAAAUCCAAGCCUUAUGAACUAGAAAUCUCAAGAAUCCUACACCCGAUGAUAAAACCAACCAAACCAAGUCCGAUUGACCCCAAAGUUUGCACACAAUUCACAUUCAACACUACGGAGCUAUUCCAACUUUUGGAAUCAGAUUUCGACCCCGAUAUCAAAAUCUCACUAUCGAUCCGGAAACUUCAAAAAUUCAACUUUCAGCAUUUCAAGCCUAAAUAAGUUACAAACCUCCAAAACACAAUCUGAACAUGCCCCUAAGCCCAAAAUCAACCAACGGAGCUAAUGGAACCAACUGAAUUCCAUUCCAAGGCCGUCUUCACACUACUCCGACUACGAUCCAAAUUCUAAAUCUUAAGCUCUUAUUGAGGGGCUAAGUAUCCCAAAACACAAAACGAAUCCUCUCGGCAACUCAAAAUAGCAGAAACAAACACGGAAAAAGUAGUUAAUAGGGGAUCAGGGCAUUAAUUCUUAAGACAACCGGCCGGGUUGUUAAAGAUUCCUUCCAAAUCAUUUGAACACAUUUUCACACAACUUGCUACUCUCUUUCUGAUGAAGUCUACAAAGCCAUGUAAUAACUUCAUCUCUUUUGUGGAAGCCAGGAUAGCUGGGAUUCAGAAAUCCCCUAGCUAUCAAACUAGCAACUUUCUCCAAACCCUAGAGAACACCCUUAUAGAAGAGCUUGAUUCUGUCCUCAAGAAUGAGGAAGACUUUUGGAAGAUGAAAGCUAGAAUUAACUGGCUCUCUGAUGGUGAUGCCAACACCAGAUUCUUCCAUACAUCUACCCUUAACAGGAGAAGGAGAAACAGAAUUCUCUCCCUCAAGAAUGAUUCAGGGCACUGGCAGUAUGAGCCUCGGGAAAUAAAAGCUUCAAUAACAAAAAUUUUCUCGGAUCUCUACUCCACAUCCGUCUCUCAAUCCCAAAGGAACAUCACCACUCAGUGCCUUCAUGGACCCUCCCUUUCUGAUAUCCAAAAAUCCUCCAUGGAAAUGCCCCUCAGAGAUAGUGAAAUCAAGAAUGCCAUUUUCUCCUUCAAGCCUUUCAAAGCUCUAGGCCCUGAUGGCUUACACCCUUUCUUCUACCAGAAAUAUUGGACAUUAUGGGAAAGGAUGUGAUCAUUUUCUGUAAAAACUAUUUUUCAACAGAAAUAAUGCAUCCUCUGAUGAAUGAGACACUGCUAUGCCUCAUUUCCAAAUGUCCUCAGGCAUCCAUGAUCAACAAUUUUAGGCCCUUAGGUCUAUGCAAUGUUGUUUACAAAACUGUGACUAAAAUACUAGCAAACGGAAUCAAGCCUUAUUUGCCCAAUAUCAUUGGCCCUAGCCAAGCUAGCUUCCUUUCCAACAGGAGAGCUGCUGAUUAUGCUAUCAUAGUCCAGGAAUACAUCACCCACUUUGGGAAGAUGAGAGGCAAAAUACCCUACAUGAUCCUCAAGAUAGACCUGGAAAAAGCCUUUGACAGACUAGAAUGGUCUUUCAUACAAGAGACCUUUCAUGUCUUCAACUUCCCCAAUGUCACCAUCAACCUCAUUAUGUUUUGUGUCAGCUCUUCCUCCAUCUCUGUUCUUGGUAAUGGAGAGCAGACAAACUCCUUUAAACCCACCAGAGGUAUUAGGCAGGGGAUCCUUUGUCACCCUACCUCUUCAUCCUCUGUAUGGAAAGACUCUCUAGGGCCAUUGAGAGAAAUGUCCAACUCAAGGAUUGGUACCCCAUUAACAUUAGCAGAACUGGCCCUAAGAUACAACAUCUUUUCUUUGCUGAUGAUCUAACACUGUUUGCUACAACUAAUCAGGGAAACUGCAACACAAUUCUCAAUACUCUUAAUUCCUUCAAUCGGGCCUCAUGAUAGAAAAUCAAUCUCAGUAAGUCCAAAGUCUUUUUCAGUGCCAAUUGCCAACCCACCAAAUGGAAACCAUCUCAAACACCCUUGCUAUUUAGGCAUCAACCAGCUUUGGUAAAUACCUUGGAUUCCCAUUCUUCCACAAAAGGCCUACCCAUAAUGACUUCCAGUUCAUCAUAGAUAUCUGCACACCAAAUUGGCUAGAUGAAAAACAAAUAUGCUUAAUAUGACUGGAAGAACUACCCUUGCAAAAGCCUUACUCAACACCAUCCCCAACCAUGUCAUGAAAUACAUUGAACUCCCUUCUAAAACAUCCAAAGAAAUUGACAAAAUCCAAAGGAAUUUCACUUGGAGUACUACCAGUGUCAAAAUAAAAUACACCUGGUCUCUUGGGACACAAACACAAAAUCAAAGGCACAGGGUGGUCUAGGAAUCCAAAAAGACGACCUGAAAAACAAAGAAAUCCAUUCAGGUAUGGCAUGGAGACUCUACCAAAACCUCUUUCUCUCUGGGCUAAAACUCUUAUAGCGAAGCACUGCAAUUGGAGACACCCACAAAAAAAAUGAAAAUCAAGCACUUGGAAAUGCAUCCUCAAAGGGUGGGAAACAUGCAUGCAAGCCAAAAGAUGGUUUGUCUACUCAGGGAACAGAGUCAAUUUCAUUAAUGACCCUUGGAUCCCAAACUUCCCUUCAAUUAGAUCCAUUAUUGAAGGCCCUCUUACCAAGGAGGACCUGGCUAUUACAGUGGCUUCAACCCAUAAUAAUGGGGAUUGGAACCUUUCUUCUAUCUCCCUAAACAUCCCCCCAAGUAUCCAAAACACUAUCCUAAACACCUUCAUCCCAUCCAAUCUCAUAAAAGAAGAUAGAAUGAUCUGGGGGGCUACCACUAAUGGAAUCUUCAUAUUAAAGUCAACAUACUCCCUCUUGGAUAAUGUUGAUCAACAAAACUAUGCCAACACAAGCAACAACUACUUGUGGAUUUGGAAAUUAAACGUUCCAAACAAGAUCAAAUCUUUCUUCUGGCUUCUUUUCCAUGAGGCUCCCCGCUGGAUCCUUUCUCCACUAUAUUGGGAUUCAUCUGGAUCUUAAAUGCUGCUUCUGCAAUCAGGCAAUUGAAACAUCUGCUCACAACUUCUUCGAUUGCCCUAACACAAAAACAUUCCGGACAAAACUUGUGUCAGAAAGUGCCAAUCCUCUUCCAAGCCAUGUCUCCUCCUUCACUAGUAGGGACUAGCCAACCAUAUGGGAGUUCCUUAAAAAGAAACCCUUCAACAACAUCAUCAAUUGGGAAGACCUACUUCCUUUCUGCUUCUGGCACAUCUGGCUCACAAGAAACAAUAACCUCUUUAACAAAAGAAAGGAUAUGGUAAAUACAAAAGCUUCCCUGGAAAAAGCAACUGAGUAUAUAACCAUAUCAAUAAGCAGAGUACCCACAAAAGAGAGAACUAUAUGGGUCAAGUGGACCCCCUCCAACCAACACGUACAAGCCCAACACAUAUAGGCCUACAGUUGGGAACCCGAUAAGGGAGGGUAGGGGUGACUUCGGAAAUACAAGUGGCAAUUGGGUUCUGGGCUACAUGGGAAGUAUCUAACAUACUACCAACACACAAGCUGAACUGCGUGCAAUCCAAAAGGUCCUGCAAAUAGCUGAAGAAAGGCAACUAACACCCUUGGAAAUAAACACAGACUCCACAAAGGUAAUUAGAAUGCUUAAUAACGGAAACCUUAUCUUUGACUCAAUCAUCUUUGAAUGCAGGUCAAUCGUUCUAAGACUAGGAGACGUAGUGGUGAAGCACAGCUACAAGGAGACGAACAGAGUUGCUGAUCUACUAGCCAAGGAGGGAGACAAAAAUAUUUUUUUGAAAAUAUUUUUGUAACAGCAGUUCCUCCGGUGUUUGCCACACAUGUGUUUUGGACAGACAUCGCAGAAACUGCUUUUUCAAGAUAAAUUUUGGAUUGUAAUAUUGAUAAUUAUAGUCGCAACGAGGGG
rnacentral:lncRNA from 1 species